UGCAAACACACAAGGAUGGCCAGCUGAGGGAAGAAUGAGGAGGAAGAGAGAAAAUAACAGAAAACCAAAGGGAUUUCGUCAGAGAGAUCAUUUCCAGUUACAAUUCUAUGACAGAUUUCCUUCUGAGCACUGCCCCUCUUCCUCUGUGAGGAAAUGGACUCUGCGCAAGGAGAAGCCUCUUUGCCCAAAGCUGAUCAACAAGACCCACGAUCCUGUGCUCAGGGGAGAAGCUGAUUACUUCAUACAGAGAAUUAAGGAAGAAUUUGUGGCUGUAUUUCAAAUCUUUUGGAAAGGAUAUACAUUAAUGCCUGCUGCACUUCCCUCCACAUUGCUAACACCGAGCACCACUCCUUUCUCCUCCUUCUCCCCAAACACCCCGCAAAAAUGGGAGAAUGUUGACAGCCCAAAGAUUCAAAGAUGGGAGGAGAGAGAUCAUGAAGUAAAGUCACUAAUGGGAGAAACCAUCGCAAAAUCCUGGAGACAUGGGGCUUUUCCAGAGAAUUUUGAGGCGGCAACGUCACCUGAAAACUGAAACGCAUAGUUGAAAUUUAACAAACUGCAACGAAUGAUCCAAGAGAGCAGAAACCAUGGCCAGCUCACACUGAGCAGGGGCAGUCCACCCACACUUAUUCCCAGUGAUUCAGGAAUUUAGGGAGCAGAGCCAAGAACAAAGCAGGACAUUGAAAAGAGCAUGUAGCAAGCAUCCCCAAGAUUGGCCUUUCUCCUGUGGAACUCAGCGUUCAGCCACCCCAUAGUCACAAAGACACAGGGAAAAUGAAGUCAGAAAAGUAAAAAUGUGACAGAGUAGUAGUUGAGAGAAAGGAAAGAAAGCUGAAUCAUGUCACACUGGAAGCGACUGCAAAGGGGAAAACCGCGGGCCAAAAUGCCGGGGAGGCCAAUUUCCUCUGUCAAUGUCCAUCGACAAGGGGGAAGGGAGGGAAACGCAGAUUUCCCAGCAGCGUGGCAGGUCUUGGCACCCGCCUCGGUUCCCCUGCCGAACUUCCACAAAUAAACAUGCGGAGCCGGAGCCGAGGGGACAGAUUUGCUUCUCAGCAAGAUUUCAAAGCUGUGCACCAGGAGUCAGGGAGAAAACAGGAAGGAUCGAAGAGGAAGGAGGAGGAGGGGGAGGGACACACACGCCUUGGGCCAGAUCAGAUGGGAAACGGCCCAACCCCUCACCCGAAACUGACACACCGUUUUUUAUGAGGUGCAAGACGUUUCAGGUAGUGUUGGCAGGCUCAGUACCUCGGCCCAGGUCUGAGCUGCUGGGUUUCAAUCUGGGGGCGUUAGGUCUGAAAAGGCCACAGGUGAAGGCAAGCUCUUUCAAACCAUCUCAACCCAGGUGAAAGCAAGAAGGGCUAAUUCUUCUUGGAGUAAAUCCAGCAAGCUGGCUGCUGUUUUUUCCCCAGUCUGCCUAGGUUACUGGGCAUUGAGAGAGAGAGAGAGACAGAGAGAGAGAAGAGUGUGUGUUUGUGUGUGUGUGUGUGUGUGUACACGAGCAUACAUCUGGGGAUGGGUGGGGUGGAGGAAGGCGUGGGUACUGCACUUGGAUUAUUUGAGGAUGACAACACUCACUUCUGAUCUCCAAGGGGCUGAGGAAAAACACAGCUGGCCCCAGUUGGUGCCGAGUCCCCAGCCCCCCACUCCUAGUUCUCUUGGCUCUACGGCUAGUUUGGAGGUUAAACUUCCACCCACACGCCCAGGUCCUGACACAACAGGGGUAGGUGUCAUGCAGUGGUUUAGUGAGUUGGCCCCUCUCUGUUAGUGAGCACCAAUUUGGCACUUACUGAAAGCUUAUUUAUACACUGACACACAUGCGUGUGAAAAACAGCCCAGGAGAACGGAAGACACAGCAUUCCCCACACAGGACCUAAGCCUGGCUGCUUGCCAACCAGCUGCAGCAACAGCCUUGUCCCAGGGAGGCCUCUGCCCCUGCCUCAGAGCAGCCGUGCCUGGCCCGUGCCCCUCUGAGAAGGUUGGAGGGUCUGCCCUGAGCUUUUCUGUGCCUGUCUCAUCACUGUUUUUCUAAAAACCUUGAUAGGGUGGGUACAGGAGCAAAAGUCCCAUUUUACUGCAAAUAAUUCCUUGUAGGUUUCCUUCUUCAUGUUCAUGUUAAUCGCUCAGUCAUGUCUAACUCUGCAACCCUAUGGACUGUAGCCUGUCAGGCUCCUCUGUCCAUGGGAUUCUCCAGGCAAGCAU